rnacentral:rRNA from 1 species
CCGCCUGGGGAGUACGGUCGCAAGAUUAAAACUCAAAGGAAUAGACGGGGACCCGAACAAGUGGUGGAGCAUGUGGUUUAAUUCGAAGAUACGCGAAGAACCUUACCUAGCCUGGACAAUGAUAGAAUCUGCUAGAGAAUGUAGAGGUGCCUUCGGGAGCUAAUAUACAGGUGCUGCACGGCUGUCGUCAGCUCGUGUCGUGAGAUGUUGGGUUAAGUCCCGCAACGAGCGCAACCCUCGUUCUUAGUUACUAACGGUUCGGCCGAGGACUCUAGUGAGACUGCUGUCGUAAGGAGGAGGAAGGUGAGGACUACGUCAAGUCAUCAGGGACCUUACUGCAAGGGCGAAACACGUGCUACAAUGGGAUGUCAAAUGAGACGCAAUACCGCCAGGUGGAGCAAAGUUAUAAAGCAUCUAUCAGUUCGCAUUGUAGUCUGCAAUGCGACUACAUGAAGCUGGAAUC